GGCAUCUCUGCCUGGGGCUUCAGGAGGGGCCCCUGCCCCCACCCUCACCUGGAAUCCAAACCAGGCAGCUGCCUCCAAUGCUCCUGUCCCUCAGGGCCCCGGGCCAGGAGGGAGGCCCCUGUCCAGAGGAGCCACGCCAUACAGGGUCAAUCGGGGAAAAUCACGAGUUACAGGCCCCAUGGCAAAGAGCUACACCACCCCUCCUACAAGAAAUCCAGGCCCCUGCAACUCAGCCUGUGAAAAGUCUCCAUCACCCUGAACCCUUGCUUUUCUCCAGUGGGCUUUGGUUCAGGACCCCUCCCAUUUCCUUCUUCUCCAUAAAACAAUG